UAUAUAUGGGGGGGUGUGUGUCUUCGGACACACUUUCGAUUGGGCCAUGGUGCCCCCCUGCCAGGCAAAGGGAUGCCUGGGCAUGGCCACCCGGGAAAAUGCGCUUCACUUCUUGCAUGCCAGUCGUUUUUAAAAACGGCUGCGGCUCGUGUAUCGUAUUUUCCCCGGGAUCGGUGACGCUUAGAUGACGACGGCCCUUGACGGAUAUAGAUGAAGGAAUUGACGGAUAUGCAGAUCGGUUGCCUAUUGACCCUUGUCGNUACUAUGUAGGCUACAUCCCGGUCAUGGUGGGUUCGAUUGUGGGUUUGUUACUUUCGCAUCGUUCGGUGCAUUUUGGGGGCUGUUUUGGCUUUUCGUUGCUUGCUUGACCUUUUUUGGUUGGGUGGGUGGCUUCUAGUUGGGCGGCUUUCGGGAAUGUCGACCGGGGAGGUGCAUGAGUGGUGAUUGGUAUGUUACGUGUGGAUGGCUGUUUGCUCGCGCACCAACGUUCACGCUUCAUACCUCUUCAGUUUUGCGUCAAGACUUGAUUUGUCUUGAGCAAUGUCGUGGGUUUCCUGUGUUGCAUACCUAAUUGACGGUAACGUGUGGGCUUUACGGUUAUCUAUUUCGUCAUGUGUCGUUCAUGCGGCGUGGGAUGAACAAUGAAACGGCCUUUGUGAUCCACAGUGGUGUUGCGUUUGCAACAACGAUGUGGCCUAUGAAGCAUCGUUUGGUCUCUUGUAUACGGAACCUGAUGUGGGCAUGGGUCUUCAUAAGAUCUUCAUUAUGCCCUCGUUAAGCGUUCUCGCUUCUCCAAAACGAUUGCCUGCCAUGUUACGGCUUUGUUCGUUCAUGGUGGGCUACGUCGAAGAGGAAUGCUACCUGGUUGAUCCUGCCAGUAGUCAUAUGCUUGUCUCAAAGAUUAAGCC
rnacentral:misc_RNA from 1 species